GGGGAAGGCACGGAGGAAAGGACCCCCAGACCCGGCUUCACCUCGAGGCUCAGCUGACUGACCACCGUGUCACCCCUCGAGCCACUCCCUGCCUGACGUCCCAGAGGGGGCCGUGCCACAGCCCCGCUGACACCCGCCCCCUGCUGUAGCAGCUUCAUUCUGCCCUGGCUUCUAGGACCACGGUGGGCCCGAUGGCAGCUGCCUUGGGCCAAAGUUGUCACUCUCUCUGCCAGCCUAGCCCGUGCCUCCCUCUGGCUCAGUCUGCUAGGACUCCCGCUCACCCCCUCUUGCUCCCCCCACCUGCCCCAACCCCAGGGACUGGCAUUUGCCUGGAGUCGUCACAGAUGGCUGUCGGAUGGAUGGUCUUUGAUACGCUGCCUCUGGGCAGCUGUGAGUGUGUGGAGUUGGGUGACAGACGGGACCCCCAGACAGGGGCGUCCAGGAAGCAGUUCGAAACCGUCUGCCCAGGGCGCUCUCGUGCCACAGCGGGUUAAGGGCCUGGCGUUGUCACUGCGUGGCUCGGGUUGCUACUGGGAACUUCCGCGUGCCACAGGUGUGACCAAAAAACAGAAACAAAGUAACCGCUUCGUGAGUCGGAAGCUUCAGGGGAAACCGGGGCUGAUGGCAGAGGUGACCUGCCAAAGGGAGAAUUUGGCUAAAGCUGACACGAGAGGAAAACCUCAGAAGAGGAGGAGGAAAGACUCACGUCGGGGGACGCAGAGAGAAUGGGAGGACGCGCCACGCAAAGCGCGGUCAGAGCGGGAACGCGGAGGCGUCCAGCAUGGGAGGCCCUGCCUGAGUGCCCGACGCUGGAGCCUGUGUCGGGGCCAGGACACAGAGGGAGCCUCCAGGAGGGACUUCAGGGGAGAGCUGGGUGCCAGCCUGCCGAGUGGAGAAGGCAGCGUGAACACGGUGACACCAGCCCGCUUGUCCUUGUUAUCUGGAGGUGACGGGGAGGGGGCCGGACCCAAGGAAGAGAGACGGUGGGAAAGAAUGGUGUUUGUUCUGGAGGGGUCUGGGGGACAGCAGAGACAGUAAACGGUGGCCCACAGGCCGCCUGUGGCCUGCGGAUGAGUUUUCUUUGCCUUAUAAGUUGAACUGGUUGCCUCCCUUGAGGAACAGACAUUUCACCUGUAACUCUGGAUUUCCAGCUUCUGCUGCAGCACUGGCCAACCUAGCCAGGUGUGGCCGGCAAGUGGCUGGAGCAGACAGCUGGCUGCCCCUUCAGACGGGGCCUGGCUCUGCAGGGCCCCGCUCCCUCUCCAUCCCUUCCCCCUGCAGCCUCAGGAAGCUGAUGCCGUAGUGCCACCAGAGGCGGAAGAGGUUCAGCAGGUACCAGUCGGUCUCCUCCAGCACCAGGCUCUCCCCGUUGAAGAUGGCACUCCUGCCUCCCACCUCUCGCCGGUGCCGCAGCCCUGCCGAGACAGGACGAGGCCCUCAGGGGAUCCACUCAGCCAAGAACAAGGGAACUUCAGCCAUCAUCCUGGACCGUCCAGGGGCGGACGGCCCCAGGGCUCGUGUUGGAAUGGCUGACCUGGGCACCGAGGCCACGUGGAGGCUCACAGCUCCCAUCCCCGAGUCACCAGGUCCCCCUCCCCAGAGGCAGCUAGGAAGUGAUUCCUUCAGCAUCCCUCCAGAGCUAUUUUGCGCAAACUCUUAUAGUCAGAGACACGCCUGGGUGACUCCCCCCCCGACCACUACUGUAUUGUAGACGCUGCUCUGAACCUCCUGACACGCGUCUCAGAGAUUGUGCUGUACCUGCGCCCGCAGGACGUCCGCACCCUGGCUGCUCCAAAGUCUGUUCUAGAAACUGCUGUCACAGGGCCUGGAAGCUGCCCUAGGGCCACAGGGAAGCUGAAGGCCUCACCUCAUGGAGAACUGGCUCAUUCGACGCCCUCGACCUGACACCGGCUCUCGGGUCUCUGGACUGCCUCCUACCCCUGGCGAGGUUCUGGCUGAGCCGGUCCUUCUAGGAAGCCUUCCCAGAGCCGCAGAGACUGGACGAAGUGCCCCCUCCAGAUGCACGGUCGAGCACUAACUUCCUGGAAUUGUGCAGACGGGGACUCUGGGGCACUGCGCCUGCUACUCCGUGACCCUCAGUAUGGAUGGUUCACAGCAUCCAGACAGGCCAGAGUCUCGUUCCUGGGGGCACCCGGCAAAGAGCCAGGUCCACAGCCCAUGCUCAGUGCUCCUGGACUUUCCGAUUCAGGUAACUGGAGCCAUGUUUUAAAACCUCUAGUGCACUUGAGAACGUGGGCAGUGUCUGCGUGGAUAGGAACAGCAUACUUAGCAAGGACCACUGGGAACACGGAUUAUGGAGCCAAGACUGGAAGAGUGACGACAAUGCAAGGCCAAAGCUACAGGGGAGGCUGGUUCCAGAGGGGCACUUAGCCAGGAGGCUGGGUAUUUGGAUGCCCGUGGGAAAGCAGAGGCAAAGACAAGGCCAGGGCAUGGUCAGGGCACACACGGAAGCAGAGGGCUAUGUGCCAGUCAUCUGGCUGAGAGGACGGCCAGAAGUCCUGCAGCUCAAGUGAAAAGAUUAAAGCAGGAAAAACAACGAGAACUAAGCAGCCAGCACAAGAAACUGAGGCAGUGCUGGAGAAGGAGGUGGCACAGGAGUCCGGACCCACGAAGGUGGCCGAGGAGGUGGGAAACCGACAAGACUGGGCACGUCCACUGAGCGUCAGCAAAGUAGGCCAGCCAGUGACGUGACUGUGACAUGUCACCACACGACGUGAAUCUGGACCAGAGACACUAAGCGCAAGAGACACAGUUAUUUCAAUUAAGGUUUUAUUGAAACUGUUUCUGAAGAUUCUGUUUCAUCCUUAGUUUUCCUUACUCGAUUUCGCUUUAGUGUCAAGGAAUCUUUCUUCACUGAUCAAAUCCUUUGCCAUGAAAAAGCACCACAUGAUGUAUAUCAGCAUUGAACAGAAUGAUCUCUUUAUGGCAGUGAGGAAAAUCCGUAAAAGCUUUGCAGAACCCAAGGACUCAAACGCCAAGACCCCUUUCAGAUGAGCCAAACUUCUUCGCACGCCCGUCUACAAGCCAAUACAUAAUACUGUCUUUUCACUUUACCAUCAAGAUGAAAAUAAUUAAGAAGAUAAAGCAAUUUUUUUUCUCCAGUCAAAAAAAAUGAGGAUUUCUCUG